CAAUACCGUGAGUAAAGUGGCGCACGGGUGAGUAACACGUGACUACCUACCCUUGAGUGGGGGAUAACCUCGGGAAACCGAGGCUAAUACCGCAUAAUAUCGAAAGAUCAAAGGAGUAAUCCGCUUUUGGAGGGGGUCGCGGCUGAUUAGCUAGUUGGUAAGGUAAUGGCUUACCAAGGCGAAGAUCGGUAUCCGGCCUGAGAGGGCGCACGGACACACUGGAACUGAAACACGGUCCAG
rnacentral:rRNA from 1 species